UGAGGAAUAUUGGUCAAUGGGCGAGAGCCUGAACCAGCCAAGUAGCGUGCAGGAUGACGGCCCUAUGGGUUGUAAACUGCUUUUAUAUGGGAAUAAAGUGAGGGACGUGUCCCUUAUUGCAUGUACCAUACGAAUAAGGACCGGCUAAUUCCGUGCCAGCAGCCGCGGUAAUACGGAAGGUCCAGGCGUUAUCCGGAUUUAUUGGGUUCAAAGGGAGCGUAGGCUGUUUGUUAAGCGUGUUGUGAAAUGUAAGAGCUCAACUUUUAGAUUGCAGCGCGAACUGGCAGACUUGAGUGCGCACAACGUAGGCGGAAUUCAUGGUGUAGCGGUGAAAUGCUUAGAUAUCAUGACGAACUCCGAUUGCGAAGGCAGCUUACGGGAGCGCAACUGACGCUAAAGCUCGAAGGUGCGGGUAUCGAACAGG
rnacentral:rRNA from 1 species